rnacentral:misc_RNA from 1 species
UGGCGUCCUCGCCACUUCGGUAGUGCAAUAACAAACAUCAUGAAGUUAUACAGUUGUCUUCCUGAGGAUUCUUAAAAAUACAAACAAUAUAAAAUGGGUGCUGGGUGCAGCAGCGAUCACGGUGGAUACAGAAGCAACAUCAUUGGUUCAGGUGUCCCAAAUCUUAAAAUAGCAAUAGUUGGUGACACGGAAGUAGGAAAGACAUGUAUAAUGUUAAGAUAUCUAAAAAAUCAAUUUAGUCCCAUGUACAUUCCAACCAAAAAAGCAGUCAUAGAGAGUGCAGUGAAGAAGAUAAAUGUUCCUGGACACACAGUUGCCUCCCUUACAAUCUGGGAUAUCCCAGGGAGGGAGGAUAUGGACCUCCAUAAAACUUACUUCAGGGACCUAGAUGCAGCAAUAGUUGUAGUAGAUCUCACUGAAAUGAACAGCAUAGAAAUGGCGCCCGUUUGGAAGCAGACCAUUCUCAACAACACCUUUGUUACCUGUCCGGUGAAGGAGGCCUCCCAUGGGGGCCAGGUGAAAACGAUGACCAUGGAGGAACAUCCGGUCGAUAAGGAGACAUUUCCAGUUCUCCUGGUGGGAAACAAAUUUGAUGUGAUUGAACAAAAAGUGCAAGCAGAGAGAUUAAAGAAAUAUGCACAGGAGAGCCAGGAAACAGAAGGUGAAGAGAAACGUGUGUGGUCACUAGGAGGCCCACUGACAGAGGAGGAAAAGCCAGAGUGUAUCAAGCUGCUGGAGAAACAAGCAGAGGAUCACAACUUUCAUGCUAGUGUGAUGGUGUCAGCAAGGGAUGGAGACGGCUCGGUGAGGGAGGCCAUGCAGAAUCUUGUGAGGCAUGUCUUAGAAAAUAAAUACUCAAUGAAGAAGUACCGCAAUAAGGGAGACUCCAAGAAGCACAAAGAGAAGAGGAAGAAGGAAAUUGAGGGGCUUGAUAAGACUGGCAUAAAAUCAUUUGAUACAGAGUUCAUAUCAGCCAAUACCUCAGUUAAGAAGAUUACGACACUGCGAGAGUUUUACAACAAGUCACUGACCAAGUUCAAGGAAGGUUGUCAGUUAGCUCAGAUUGUGGAGAAGGAGGAAAACAGUCUGGAGGACUGUGUAGCAGCAUUAAAGAAAAACAUAGGAGAGGGGGCCAAACUCAAGGUUAAAAAAGAUGAAGAUUUCUGCAAGCUGAAAGUUAGUUCUAAAGAUGAGGACUUUAAACCAGCCAAAAAGAUCAGAAUAUUGUUAAACAUAUUUCAUACUGAGUAUGCCAGUGUAUGUAAAUCUAUACAGAAAGAUUGCCCACUAAUGGACAAAAAGCUUCAACAGCAAGAUGAAGCCAUAGAAACCAUGUGCAAGGAAUGCUGGGAGGAGGUUGCUACGGUAGAACAAGGCCAGCCUCGCAGUGAAGAGGAGAUCAAGAGAAUUACUGACAUCAUUGAGACCAACAGAGCUAAGAUGCAGCAUGCCUGUUUAGAGGCAAGAGCUGCGGUGUCAGUGGUAGAGGACGCCAUGAAGAAAAUCAAAACGGCAUUUUUGUGGUGAACUUGAUUUCCAAAAGGGGGACUACUCUAGAUUAGUAUGCUAGAGAUUCCUGGCAAGAUUGAUGAUUACUCUAGCAAGCUAAUUAGGUUUAUGGCAAGAUAUUUCUGACUUGAUGCCAUAUUUAUGUAACAAUAGGAUAGAAAAUUUUACCAAGGCUCUUUCAUGUAUUUUUUAAGGACCACCCAAUAUUUCAUUAAUAGACUUCUUUCUUAAUGUAUUAAAUAAUAUACUUAUUAAAAUAUCGUUUUUUUCCAGGCUGGUUGAUUGCAACCUCAUGUGAAUGUAUGUACAUGUAUAUAUACUCAGUACUUUUUAUAUACAAGUUAAAAAUAUUUCUUUAUUUAAUUAACUUUCAAAAUUGUUUAUUCUUUCUAUAACUUUAUAUCUUUUUGAAAUUUUUAGGUGAUUUUUACAUACAGAUUAUUCAGUUGGACAUUAUGAAUAUUGUCAAUGAGUUGCUUUAAUCUGUUUGUGACUUGCACCUCUUCUUCUUUACAUAUACAAUGUUUUAAACAAAACGAUUCCAGAAUGUAAAUUAUUGUAAAA